rnacentral:rRNA from 1 species
GACGAACGCUGGCGGCGUGCCUAAUACAUGCAAGUAGAACGCUGAAGGAGGAGCUUACUUCUCUGGAUGAGUUGCGAACGGGUGAGUAACGCGUAGGUAACCUGCCUGGUAGCGGGGGAUAACUAUUGGAAACGAUAGCUAAUACCGCAUAAGAGUAGAUGUUGCAUGACAUUUACUUAAAAGGUGCAAUUGCACCACUACCAGAUGGACCUGCGUUGUAUUAGCUAGUUGGUGGGGUAACGGCUUACCAAGGCGACGAUACAUAGCCGACCUGAGAGGGUGAUGGGCCAGACUGGGACUGGGACACGGUCCAGAAUCCUACGGGAGGCCGCAGUAGGGAAUCUUCGGCAAUGGACGGAAGUCUGACCGAGCAACGCGGCGUGAGUGAAGAAGGUUUUCGGAUCGUAAAGCUCUGUUGUAAGAGAAGAACGAGUGUGAGAGUGGAAAGUUCACACUGUGACGGUAUCUUACCAGAAAGGGACGGCUAACUACGUGCCAGCCGCCGCGGUAA